rnacentral:misc_RNA from 1 species
ACGUACGCUUGUUCUUAAGCAGUAAUCGAGCCGACAUUUACCUUACACUCGAUACUGGUUUGCUCCUGAUUCUAACCGUCGAUCUCGAUACAAUGCCCUCGAUCUUGAGCGAUCCAGCGAGCAGUCCACGGACGCUGGCAAUAAGUUUGAUUGGGCUAACAAAUUGUCACGCUUGUCUCGAAGAGGAAGAGGCGACGUGUUCAGGCCACUUCUUCGUAAUGGGCAAUUGUGGGCUGGCGCACUGGAAUCGUCCGGGUGCUGUGUCCUAAGUAAAUAAUAAAAUCGUUUCAUUCGCCUUCCACGAGUCUCGGACAACGCUAGACUUUUGUCUCGUCGCGUUUCGACCGCUGCAAUCGCCUCUUUCGUAAAGUUCGCUUUCUCCUCGUUCGAUACGCGAUUCCGCUCGAGAUAGUGAUCUUAGAUUUUCCAAUCGCGGAACGUGCUGCUUUAUCCUGCUUCGGCGUUUCGUGAAUUAUUCGACGAUUCGGUUCACCAGGGACUAUCGUUUACCGAAAAUGUAUCGGGAUAAGGAUCUAAACGGAGACGAUGCUUUUUCGAGUAACGAACGUUAUCGAUUUUAAUUUUGGAAGAACUACCUCUGCUAACACCUACAACAGAUACAGUGAAUUUAGGUUUUCGUGAAUAAUUCAACGAUUCGAUGGUUUAAGAGUUCCCUCGGAAUAGCUUCGAAAGAAGAAAAUCGAUUAAAAUUGGAAAAUUGAUUCUCUGCAAGUGGAAGGUGGUAAUCCUUUAAAGCGUCGUUUGGCAUUGUCAGUUUCAAUUUCGCUCCAUUGUGUUUAAAAUGGGCAAAUCAUCUUCUAAGAUUUCCUUCUUUCAUCGCGUUAUUAACCGACGAAAAGUUUCAUAAACCUUGAAAGCUUCGUUCGAUGCACAAUACCGGUACCGUUAAACAUUAUCGCAUUCCGUAAGAAUGAAAUUUAUAACGUUUUUGUUCCUACUCGUACACUAAAAACUAUAACGGUAGGUUCGAUUAGAACAGUAGAUUUUUCGGAGCAUCCUAAAUACUCCAACCAUUACUCGUACGAAAAUUUUCUUCUUAUCAAGUAAUACGGCUCCAAAUGGCGGGUUUGCCAGUAUUUUACGAUAGAUCCAGCCUUCUGUGAAUAAUUCAACGAUUCGAUGGCUCAAGGACUGCUAUUUGCUCGAAGUGGUAUUAGGAAAAGGAGAAUUACGGGCCUAUGGAAGGUGGUAAUACCUCGAAACGUAAUCUGUGUUAUCGGUGUGCAGUGAUCUCGUUCUUGAUAUUCGUGUCGUUUAUCAUCUUCUUGCAUUAGCGUGCAUAGUUGCUCCUGUCGUCGUUGUUAACAACGGUCUCGAAACGAAGAAAGCUACUAACCUUGUUGAGAAUUCGAGUAUAUCGGCACGUGAUGUCGUUAAUUAUCGGAAAGGUGUUCAUCGUGUUUUCCGACGAAACUAGCCGAGAUUAAUUCGGUCCAUUGUCAUUGUCCCGCGAAAACAAUCGAUUCGUCGUUUUGCAGCUUGAUCGAACCAAAGAAGCGCCCGAAGGAUCCCGGGAGACACGCGUACAAAAUCGUCUCUUGCCAAAGAUAUCUAUUCUACGUACCUGUAUGUAACAUUAAAAAGUUUACGUUUCGAAUAUUCUUCGACAUUUUUUUAUUGGAUCAAAGGAUAAUUAGAAAACUUAUGAACAAUUAUAAAUAAAGUUUAGAAGCGUAUUAAAACUCUUAACUUAUGAAUAAGAUGGUAUCGAACGUUUCGAGCAAUCUGAAAGGAUACUUGGAGCGCAAUUUACGAGGAUAAAGCUUAUAAAAAUAUAACGAAGCAUUCGCUGUGAAGAUUGGUCUUCUCCAGAUGAAAUUUCGCAAAUCGUCCAUAUCCAGUCCAAAGAUGGAAUUGCUCUCGAGGCGGUCGUCAAACGACGGCAGGAUGUCGACCCUGAAGAGGUCGAGGUCCUUUCGAGCGUCGAUGAAGCUGAUGUCGAAGCUGAAGAGUCACGCGAAUCUGCGUUUAAAUCGGAACGCGGGUUUCGAUCUGUCUCCGGUGGCUGUGCGUGAUCAGCGCUCGAAAAAACGCCGAAACAAGUUAUCCUCGUUUGAAGAAUCCUCGUCGAGUCCUGUGGCUGACACGGAAUCCAACGUUAUAGAGAAUCCUGCGAGAAGCGACGAGAAGAUACUCGACGAUCUCGAGAAGGACUCGGUGUCGUUGAACGAGCUCGAAUCUCGCAGAAUCAGCAAAGAGUUGAAGAAUAAGUUAUGCCUGACGGACAGGAUAAUGAGGAGAAAUCGCAAGGACACCGAGAAAGCUCCGAAGAAAUCCGCUGGACCAUUGUCGCCCAAAGUAACACAUAUUUUUCGAUGGAAAAGCAACGAGGAAAGUCCAACCACGGAGAAAAAGGAUGUCCACGUGUCCUACGAAAAUCCUACCUUCUGCUUGGACAGCUCUCUGGACUCGUCCGUCUCGAGUUUCUUGUUCGAUCCGGAGAAUUCUAGUCGCAUCGCGAGCGAAAUCGAAUGCAACGACGAGAUGUCCUCGGAAAGGUCCCACCAGGAUCCUGUAUUGACUCUGCUAGUGGACUCUCGACGUCCUUACGCGAACGAGACGGUGUUCGAGGGAGCGGCAAAUUUCCAGUGCAAUAAAAACAAUCGUCCUUCGUUUCGUAGUCCCAAAGCUAGGAGUUUGUCGGUGAACGACGUUGUCCUGCAAGAGGACGAGGAGAUUGCCAAGAGUCUGGAUUUAAACGAGUACAGGACGAAUUUCUGUUGCCAGUCUCAUCGAGACGACGAUUUAUCCUCGAAGGAACGCAAAGCGUCGGAGAAAAUGAGGAAAACUUCCGUCUGUUCUUCCAAGUCCUGCAGGAUCAGGACCGUGGAUAAUAUAGCGAACUUUUGGACGAACGGCCGUGGCAGCAGCUUCCGUAAUAAGGUCUCGGUGGGGAGAAAGAAGUCGAUCAAAGAUUCGAGGGACCACGAGUCCAUUGGACAAGAUAGACAACUCGUUACGACCACUUCUGGAUCAAAGCUGUACUCUUUACAAGGGAUGGAGUUCCUGGAGGGUUUCGGGAAGAAAAAGCAGCAACCCCAUCAACAAUCGAACAGUAUAUCGUCGGUGCACAUCAAUCCCCUAUCGGCACAGUCUCUCAACAUACAUCUGCAUGCGCUAUUCGCAGCCGUGGAACAUGGUCAUCUCGACAAAGCCAGAACAAUUUUGGAAUCGACGGACGUGGAUGUGAACAGCGUGAACAGCGACGGUCUAUCACCCCUGGAUGUGGCGGUGCUAAGCAACAACAGGCCACUUGCAAAAAUGCUGGUCGCGUUUGGUGCACAGGAGGGUAAUCAAUUCAAGUCUCCGGAGUCCCUGGGCAGCCAUUUGGCUUCGUUGUUGUCAGAGGCGGAACACAGAGUUCAAGAACUCGGCGGGAGUACUUCCGGUAGCGGUGGGACCACCCUGUUGGAGCCACCUACCAGUCAUAGAUCAAGUUUUUCGUCGCAGCACAAUAAUCUCACGGGAUGCGGUGGUAGCGCGGAGGACAAACAACUUGCUCUAUGGGAAAGAAGGGCCAGAGCUCUUAGGAAGAUGCUUCUUGGAUUUGAUCAAGCGAGACCACCAGAUAUGCCAUUUUUGGUAGCGAUCGAUGUGACAGGAACAAAUUCCGUAACGGUGAGGUUCCAAGAACCAGAUUCUCACGAUUCUCCAAUCUGCACCAAGUUCAAGGUUCAAUGGAGCAGCAAAGAAGACUUUUCGGCGAUCGGUGGAGAGAGAGAAGUUCUGGACAUGAAACAAAGAGAAUGCAGGAUCGACGAUCUAAUCCAGGGACAAAAGUACUAUUUUCGAGCCGCUGCCGGCAACUUGAAAGGCUACAGCAGAUUCAGGAAUUCCACACCCGCCCACGUUACACCUAGCAGCUGGAGAGACAUCGAUGGCCGAGUGCCAAGAUUCGCUGGCCGAUUGGAACAAUUGAAUACUCUGUUCACGGAUAUAAGACGACCGGAGUACACUCAAGAGACCCCGGCGGUGCAGCGGCGUAAUCACAAGAAGAAGACAACGAUAAAGCAGCUCUUCACGGCGACCAGUAAAUUUCAGAAGAACCUCAGACGAGGAGUAUUCCUCGCUUGCUUGCUCUAUCACGAGGACAAAGUGCUAGUGACUAACGAGGAUUUUUUACCCGUGAUCGAAGUCGACGAAACUUAUCCCAGCUGUAUCUACAACGAUUUCCAUUGGCUGAUGAAGGUGGCCUGCACGUGGGACGAUGUCAAAACACUUCGCCAGGACAUGGAGAAAAGUCACAGCAGCUCAACGAAUCAUUUCAGGAUAAAAUUGUUACAGGCAGCUGCGCAAAUGCAGGCAGCACUGUGCAUACAGGACCUUGGACAACUGUAUCACAAACCUAUCCGAGAUAUCCAAGGCACUCUAGUUUUCUCCACAGUGAAUUAUAUAAAAUCCCCAAAAUUGAUCUCGGUAUUGAACAGCAGAUGGUUACCUCUUAGUAAAGUUACGAAGAAAGUUAUACCUCACGAAGACAGUAACGUAGCGGAUAUUUUAAUAUCUAGUAUACAGGAACAGAUGACUUAUCAUCAAGUUAGCAGUAUUAAAUUAUCGAAGGGUCUUUAUCUUGGCUACCUAAAGAUGCAAAGUAGCGUGGAUCUCAUUCAAGUGGUGGUACCCGCAAAAUCGCCCAAUGUUUUACCUCACUGUAAAAUUCGUGAUAAUCCUCAUGUUUCUGCAGAAGAAUGGGAUUAUCUGAAAAGGAUAACUCGUAUGUACGCGUCGGACGUUUCGGUGAAAGACUCUGAAGAGAAAGAGAACGUUACCAACGAAUUGCAAGGAACCGAGCAACAGAAAUUGUUCGUUGAACUAGUGUCUGCCACCGCGAGACGAUUGUUCAAUUACAUGGAGAUCAACCCCGAGGAUUCCUUAGUUCAUCGACUCUACGAUGCCGAAGUAAUCGACCUUACUCACGAUGUGUCGUUCCUGAUCGCUGUACCUCCUGCGGAGACAGCCUGUUGUGUACCUGGAACGAGGGAGAUCCUUCUUCAGCGCGGUGAUCUCCUAUCGUUACCCAUUCAAGUAUUCGAAAUGGUUCAUUUAAAUACGUAUCAGAAAGACGUAAUCAACAGAUACUCGAGAUUGAGUUGUAUUUUGGAGCUUGAUACCGCGCAAGCGCAACACAAUCACAGAGAAGCCUUUAGCUCUUUGGAAUUGAGCGUAGCAAAGGAUAAACUGGCGAGGUUACAGGAUCUUCAAACUCAGGUGAAUACAGUUUGGAAGGGUGCCAGGUGGCUUAUAGAUGUGAUCACCUUUGCAAGGGAUCGUGGAUCCUCCCAACAAAGCAGUACAUCGCAAACUGUCGGAAUAUCAAUGAAACACCUUCUUAGCCUCGAUAGAAACAAAAGUAACAGCAACAGUAACAGCUUGAAAAGGAGUUUGCUACAGUUACCACCACGCGAUCCAAAACUUGUUAAAUCGAGCCCAGGUCGAGGUAGUUGGCCAGGACCUAACGUGACAAAUUCGUCUUCGAAUCUACUCACGACAGAGUUCAGUAAAAGCGAACAACAAUUACCCAGCGGCCAAUACGUUCGCAAAGGCAGCAACACGUCAAACGUAUCGACUGGAUCGGAACCGCAAAAGUCCUCUAUACCCAUGAGCAGCACCAGCAAUCUGACCAAUACGACCAGCGGUGGCAGCAACAAUCAUUUGGUACCGUUGCAAAACACCAGGUUACCGCCUUCUAAAUCCGAGGACACACUGAUCCUAACGAAAUACAAACACAGCCCCAGAAAUAGGUCGGCCACAAUCACGUCCGCAUCAGCGAGCACCAGUCCUUUGCUCAGCAUCAAACCCAUGAUUUAUGGCGGCUCGCUUUUAAGCGUAUCGACCGCCAUGACAAACACCACCAGUCUACUAAGCGUCAGCAAUACCAAUUCUGACAGUUUACAUUCGCUUAGUAGCGACGAAUACUCGACGCCAAACUCGAGUGUUUGCAUAAAAAGCGGUCACGUUAAGAGCAAACCAACGAAACCUACAGCCAGUGUCGCAGCCAUGGCGACUGGGUCACUGGAGAGCCAAUUGGAGGAAGAAAAGGACGAGGCAACGAUGAUGCCGGCUCCUUUACCUGGGCACACAAGUCUAACCCGAUUGUAGUUAAACACAACUCACUCUUGGUCUUCUAGUGCAGACCGAUGUAGCAGACGUACGAGUUUACGCGGCCUACGAGACUGGCCUGGCUUCUGGAACCAGCCUAAAAUUACAUGUGACACCAAGAACCACGGCCAGAGAAGUUGUGAA